AGAUGGAUCAUUCAUAAUGUGUCGCUAGUGCUGUGGUUCGAUUUGAGACAACACAAUGACAAGUGGUUCGAUUUGAGACAACACAAUGACAAGUGGUUCGAUUUGAGACAACACAAUGACAAGUGGUUCGAUUUGAGACAACACAUGACAAGUGGUUCGAUUUGAGACAACACAAUGAUUUGUGUAUUACUGAGAAGUCGAAAGGCUGUGGUUUGAACUGAGAUACUGGAUUGGCUUGUGGUGACAGUGUAACAACAGACUGACUUGUGGUGGCGAAUGAGACAACGAAACGAUUGUGGUGCAUACUGAGACAACGCAAGGCUAUGGUGCAUACUGAAACAACGCAAGGCUAUGGUGCAUACUGAGACAACGCAAUGCUGUGGUGAACACUGGGACAACGAAAUGACUUGUGGUAACAAUGAGACAACGCAAUGCUGUGGUGAACACUGAGACAACAAACUGACUUGUGGUGAAGACUGAGACAACGAAAUGCUGUGGUGAACACUGAGACAACAAACUGACUUGUGGUGAUAGUGCAACAGCUGAACGACUUGUGGUGAAAACUGAGAAAACAAAGUGACUUGUGGUGAAGACUGAGACAACGCAAUGCUGUGGUGAACACUGAGACAACGCAAUGCUGUGGUGAUAAUGCAACAACAAACUGACUUGUGGUGAACACUGAAACAACUGAACGACUUGUGGUGAAGACUGAAACAACGCAAUGCUGUGGUGAUGCAUGAAAACAACUGAACGACUUGUGGUGAAGACUGAAACAACGCAAUGCUGUGGUGAUGCAUGAAACAACUGAACGACUUGUGGUGAAGACUGAAACAACGCAAUGCUGUGGUGAUGCAUGAAACAACUGAACGACUUGUGGUGAAGACUGAAACAACGCAAUGCUGUGGUGAUGCAUGAAACAACUGAACGACUUGUGAUGAAGACUGAAACAACGCAAUGCUGUGGUGUUGACUGCGUCAACAGAAUGACUUGUGGUGAAUACUGAAACAACGAAACGACUGUGGUGAUGACUGCGUCAACAGAAUGACUUGUGGUGAAUACUAAACAACGAAACGACUGUGGUGAAUACUGAGAAAACAAAGUGACAAGUGGUGGCAAUGAAACAACUGAAUGACUUGUGGUUACGACUGCGAAAACAAAGUGACGAGUGGUGAAACAUGAAACAACAAAGUGACAAGUGGUGAAACAUGAAACAACAAAGUGACAAGUGGUGAAACAUGAAACAACAAAGUGACAAGUGGUGACAAUGCAUCAACACAGUGACAAGUGGUAAUAUCCUAAGCGAACAGAAAGUUUAACGGUACAAGUCAUGUAAGAAUCUGUCAGAGUGCAUGUGGUCGCUAAUCCUAAAUUUUAAGAGAUAAUUCCAUUUACGCCUCUCAGCGAUGGAUGUCUCGGAUCUCGUAACGAUGAAGAACGCAGCUAGCUGCGAGAUGCAGUGUGACAUGCGAACUUCUGUGAAUCAUUAGAUUUUUGAACGCAAAAGGUACUUCUAAAUUCAUUUAGGAGUAUGUUCACUUCAGUGCUUUUAUAUAUUUGUUAACCUAAUUGGUGGUUAACGUGAAUAGUUACUGUGAUUGCGGUAACUGAAAGCUAAUGAUAAUGGUUUUUAGGUGACGCUUUGAAAACUGUUAUUGCAUUAUUAAUAAGCCUGAAUUUGAGCAAGUGUACCCGCUGAACUUAAGCAUAUUAUUAAGCGGAGGAAAAGAAACUAACUAGGAUUCCCUAGUAACUGCGAGUGAACAGGGAAGAGCUCAAACUGGAAAUCGGCAGUUUUCUGUCGAAUUGUAGUCUCAUGAAAUGCAGCCUGUAAAUGUUGUGAAUUAAGUCUCUUGGAAAAGAGUACCAAAGAGGGUGAAAGUCCCGUCUUUAUUCACAACUAUUUACUUUCGGUGCAUUUUCAAAGAGUCGCGUUCUUUGAGAUUGGAGCGCUAAGUGGGUGAUAAACUUCAUCUAAAGCUAAAUACUAACGAGAUUCCGAUAGCGUACAAGUACCGUGAGGGAAAGUUGAAAGAACUUUGAAAAGAGAGUUAAAAGGAACUGAAAUUGCUGAAAGGGAAGUGGAGAGAUUCAACGGUUUAGCAAAUCUUUUGCAUGCUUGGAUAUUGCAUCCUUCAGUGUGCAGUCGAGAUUUGCGGUGACUCUGGAGGCGAUUGUACAAGCAGAUUACGUUAUUGAUAGGUUCUAUAAUUAGGGCCAUGUCUUUGAUGUCUUCAGCCUGUGUGAUCUAUGUAAUUCUAACUCAGCAUUCAUUGUCGAGUUAUACACUUCCAGACAUGUUGAUUCUCUCCUCCCCGUCUUGAAACACGGACCAAGGAGUCUACUUUAUGUGCAAGUACAAGGGUGGAAAACCUAUGUGCGAAAUGAAAGUAAUAGUUAGGAUGGUUAUUUCCUGCACUGACACUAGGCCACUGAGUCGAAGUUGAGCACAUAGAAUAGGACCCGAAAGAUGGUGAACUAUGCCUGUGUAGGAUGAAGCUAGAGGAAACUCUGGUGGAAGUUCGUAGCGAUACUGACGUGCAAAUCGUUCGUCAAACAUGGGUAUAGGGGCGAAAGACCAAUCGAACCAUCUAGUAGCUGGUUCAACC
rnacentral:misc_RNA from 1 species